rnacentral:rRNA from 1 species
ACGCUCGACACCUACGAGGCAGCAGUGGGGAAUAUUGCACAAUGGGGGAAACCCUGAUGCAGCAACGCCGCGUGAAGGAAGACGGUUUUCGGAUUGUAAACUUCUGUUCUUAGUGAAGAUAGUGACGGUAGCUAAGGAGCAAGCCACGGCUAACUACGUGCCCGCAGCCGCGGUAAUCUGAGCGGGCUGGCAAGGC